UACGUAGGGGGCUAGCGUUGUCCGGAAUCAUUGGGCGUAAAGCGCGUGUAGGCGGCCCGGUAAGUCCGCUGUAAAAGUCAAAGGCUCAACCUUUGAAUGUCAGUGGAUACUGUCGGGCUAGAGUCCGGAAGAGGCGAGUGGAACUCCUGGUGUAGCGGUGAAAUGCGUAGAUAUCUGGAGGAACACCGGUGGCGAAGGCGGCAUCCUGGACCAACACUGACACUGAAAAGCGAAAGCCAGGGGAGCAAACGGG
rnacentral:rRNA from 1 species